rnacentral:rRNA from 1 species
GACGAACGCUGGCGGCGUGCUUAACACAUGCAAGUCGAGCGGUAAGGCCCUUUCGGGGGUACACGGGCGGCGAACGGGUGAGUAACACGUGGGUGACCUGCCCUCAGCUCUGGGAUAAGCCUGGGAAACUGGGUCUAAUACUGGAUAUGACUCCACGGUGCAUGUCGUGGGGUGGAAAGCCUUGUGCGGCUGAGGAUGGGCCCGCGGCCUAUCAGCUUGUUGGUGGGGUGAUGGCCUACCAAGGCGACGACGGGUAGCCGGCCUGAGAGGGCGACCGGCCACACUGGGACUGAGACACGGCCCAGACUCCUACGGGAGGCAGCAGUGGGGAAUCUUGCGCAAUGGGCGAAAGCCUGACGCAGCGACGCCGCGUGAGGGAUGACGGCCU